AGCUUCUUUAAGAAGCUUUCUUGAUGGAGGGGAGUGGCAGACGGGUGAGUAACGCGUGGGAAUCUACCGUACCCUACGGAAUAGCUCUGGGAAACUGGAAGUAAUACCGUAUACSCCCGCAAGGGGAAAGAUUUAUCGGGGUAUGAUGAGCCCGCGUUGGAUUAGCUAGUUGGUGGGGUAAAGGCCUACCAAGGCGACGAUCCAUAGCUGGUCUGAGAGGAUGAUCAGCCACAUUGGGACUGAGACACGGCCCAAACUCCUACGGGAGGCAGCAGUGGGGAAUAUUGGACAAUGGGCGCAAGCCUGAUCCAGCCAUGCCGCGUGAGUGAUGAAGGUCUUAGGAUUGUAAAGCUCUUUCACCGGAGAAGAUAAUGACGGUAUCCGGAGAAGAAGCCCCGGCUAACUUCGUGCCAGCAGCCGCGGUAAUACGAAGGGGGCUAGCGUUGUUCGGAAUUACUGGGCGUAAAGCGCACGUAGGCGGGUAUUUAAGUCAGGGGUGAAAUCCCAGAGCUCAACUCUGGAACUGCCUUUGAUACUGGGUAUCUUGAGUAUGGAAGAGGUAAGUGGAAUUGCGAGUGUAGAGGUGAAAUUCGUAGAUAUUCGCAGGAACACCAGUGGCGAAGGCGGCUUACUGGUCCAUUACUGACGCUGAGGUGCGAAAGCGUGGGGAGCAAACAGGAUUACAUACCCUGGUAGUCCACGCCGUACACGAUGAAUGUUAGCCGUCGGCAAGUUGACUUGUCGGUGGCGCACCUAACGCAUUAAACAUUCCGCCU
rnacentral:rRNA from 1 species